AAACCAAGAAAAGUUUUCAUUAAAACCACACCUCACAAUACUAACACCACAAAAGACGUCUCUAGCUAUGAAAGAGAGAAAAAAGUUUGUAACCAGAUUUUUACUGCGUAACUAAUAUUUUAUGUUCCAGGGCUGAGCUUGUGAGAUCCACUUCGAAGCAGAAACACUAACUUCUAGAACAAUGUAAUCAAAUGGAUAUAAUAGAGCAAAGAAAAUAUUGCCUAAUGGUUGGAAGAUUCACUGAAAUACAAACCUGUCAGCUAAAGCAAGUUCUUGGUCUAGGACAGCCUCUCUUGGCUCACUCAACUCAGUGUCGUUCAAGGUUUCUUCACAGUCUGAAAAUGUCAGAAAGUGUUCACUUCGCACCACAGUUGGAUCUGAAAACAAGUCUUACGAUGAUUUAUUACCAAUAACGGGUUCAGUGCCAAAAAGUUGAUUUCCAGUUACUCUCAUUUUUGAUCUAUGAACGUCCAGGGCGCAUACAAUUUUUGGCUGUUACCCUGUUCGAGCUUUGGCUUCGAUACCAGCAAUGACUUCAGGGUGCAAAUUCCUCAUGGCAAGGAUAGCCAACCUUGAGAUGACCUGGUCAUACAGCAAAGCAUACCAUCGCUGCUGAAUCUCUUGUAAUGUAAAGCGACAAGAAAAUUUGACUCCACGUUGCACCGUCCGCAAACAAUUUGUCUGUGAGGAGAAAAAAGAAAAGAAGGCCAGGGAUGUGGAGCUGUAUUUCAAUGAAACCCUUGGGUACAAAGUACAAAGCCGGAUUUUUCUUCAGACUCCUCUCCUUAAACAUGCAGCUGUCGCGCUACAGCUGUAAGGCAAGAAUUUAAGGUGAGGAAAAAACUUUGAAAGGAAAAAGUCUAUUUUAAACAUUAGAAGUUGAAAACUCCUCCGCAAAACAGCCACUAGGACUCUGAACCAAAUGAAUACCUAAUAGGCUGGAUUUUGACUGAAAUCUUAAGACAAAAAGCUUCAAGAUUUUACUUUAAAGAUUUUUAUCUUUCAUGAGAAAAAAGGGGGCAUCUAGUGCCCUUGUAUAAAUAAAAUUCUUCUUUUGCCCAAAAAUGUAAGAUUAGCUUUAUUUCCACCCAUUCCAAUUUAAUCAAACCACUCCCACUUUUUGACCUGAACCCUUCCUAAGCAUCCUACUUACCUGUAACG